UACGUAGGUGGCGAGCGUUGUCCGGAUUUACUGGGCGUAAAGAGCGCGCAGGCGGCUGGUCAAGUCCGAUGUGAAAGCUCCCGGCUUAACUGGGAAAUUGCAUCGGAAACUGAUCGGCUGGAAGGUGGGAGAGGGUAGCGGAAUUCCCGGUGUAGUGGUGAAAUGCGUAGAUAUCGGGAGGAACACCUAUGGCGGAAGGCAGCUCGCUGGGACGUUACUGACGCUGAGACGCGAAAGCGUGGGGAGCAAACAGG
rnacentral:rRNA from 1 species